GUGGGGAAUAUUGGACAAUGGGCGGAAGCCUGAUCCAGCCAUGCCGCGUGUGUGAAGAAGGCCUUUUGGUUGUAAAGCACUUUAAGCGAGGAGGAGGCUCCUUUAGUUAAUACCUAAAGUGAGUGGACGUUACUCGCAGAAUAAGCACCGGCUAACUCUGUGCCAGCAGCCGCGGUAAUACAGAGGGUGCGAGCGUUAAUCGGAUUUACUGGGCGUAAAGCGUGCGUAGGCGGCUUUUUAAGUCGGAUGUGAAAUCCCUGAGCUUAACUUAGGAAUUGCAUUCGAUACUGGGAAGCUAGAGUAUGGGAGAGGAUGGUAGAAUUCCAGGUGUAGCGGUGAAAUGCGUAGAGAUCUGGAGGAAUACCGAUGGCGAAGGCAGCCAUCUGGCCUAAUACUGACGCUGAGGUACGAAAGCAUGGGGAGCAAACAGGAUUAGAUACCCGAGUAGUCC
rnacentral:rRNA from 1 species